UGCAGUCGAGCGAACUGAUUAGAAGCUUGCUUCUAUGACGUUAGCGGCGGACGGGUGAGUAACACGUGGGCAACCUGCCUGUAUGACUGGGAUAACUUCGGGAAACCCAAGCUAAUACCGGAUAGGAUCUUCUCCUUCAUGGGAGAUGAUUGAAAGAUGGUUUCGGCUAUCACUUACAGAUGGGCCCGCGGUGCAUUAUCUAGUUGGUGAGGUAACGGCUCACCAAGGCAACGAUGCAUAGCCGACCUGAGAGGGUGAUCGGCCACACUGGGACUGAGACACGGCCCACACUCCUACGGGAGGCAGCAGUAGGGAAUCUUCCGCAAUGGACGAAAGUCUGACAGAGCAACGCCGCGUGAGUGAUGAAGGCUUUCGGGUCGUAAAACUCUGUUGUUAGGGAAGAACAAGUACAAGAGUAACUGCUCGUACCUUGACGGUACCUAACCAAAAAGCCACGGCUAACUACGUGCCACCAGCCCGGGGAA
rnacentral:rRNA from 2 species